GAAAUAUAUACAAAUUAGUCUUCUAAACUAAUUAAUAGUGAAAUUCAUUAAUAUUUCU
rnacentral:tRNA from 1 species